GUCGUCAGCUCGUGUCGUGAGAUGUUCGGUUAAGUCCCGCAACGAGCGCAACCCUCGCUGUGUGUUAUAUGUGUCACACGGGACUGCCGGUCUUAAGCCGGAGGAAGGUGGGGAUGAUGUCAAGUCCUCAUGGCCCUUAUGGGUAGGGCUUCACACGUCAUACAAUGGUCGGUACAGAGGGUUGCCAAGCCGCGAGGUGGAGCCAAAUCCCUUAAAGCCGAUCGUAGUCCGGAUCGUAGUCUGCAACUCGACUACGUGAAGUCGGAAUCGCUAGUAAUCGUGGAUCAGAAUGUCACGGUGAAUACGUUCCCGGGUCUU
rnacentral:rRNA from 1 species